ACUUUCUUAGUAUUAACCAGUACACGUGACUUCCAAUCACAAAGUCUUAGUUAGAAUCUAAGAGAAAGUA
rnacentral:tRNA from 12 species